UACGUAGGGACCAAGCGUUGUCCGGAAUCAUUGGGCGUAAAGCGCGCGUAGGCGGUCCGGUAAGUCCGCUGUGAAAGUCGGGGGCUCAACCCUCGAAUGCCGGUGGAUACUGUCGGGCUAGAGUACGGAAGAGGCGAGUGGAAUUCCUGGUGUAGCGGUGAAAUGCGCAGAUAUCAGGAGGAACACCAAUUGCGAAGGCAGCUCGCUGGGACGUUACUGACGCUGAGACGCGAAAGCGUGGGGAGCAAACAGG
rnacentral:rRNA from 1 species